GUUCAUUCUGCCUCAGACUUUCUUCACUUGGCUAUUUUAUAUUCAUCCUUCAGAGAUCCUUUGUUCUUAGGAGAAAGGCCAGGUGAAGACAGGAGGAGAUAACAGCCGUCUACCAGCCCGGAAGAAGGCUCUCGCCAGACAUGGAAUCUGCCGCCACCUCGAUCUUGGACUUCUGGCAUCCAGAUAGUGUUAUGGUAAUUUUAUUUGAAAAUUGAAGAAACUGAGGCCCAAAUACCAAAGUCCAGUUACAUAGGCAACGAGGCUAGACACUCAUAUUCUGAUUUUUCAUAUCACUAUAUUGAUUCACUCUCCUCUUCAAACAAAAAAAGACUACUUCAUGUUCACCACCCAAAGUCUAAUUGCCAUCCAUCUUGUUGGUUUUCCAAAGUCACAAUAAUAUGCUUCUGGGACCAAUAAUCAUCAUCAAUGCAAUCAUAUAACACAGUCUAAAGAGAGGUCAAGUUUCAGUAAAAACGUUGCCAGCUGUCAAGAAUCAAAAUGUGCUCCAAAUUUGUCUGCUGUCUCACUAACAUGUUAAGAGUUCUCAGAAGCUUGAUGGUCUAUAAAAUCUGUUUUAUCAUUUAAUUA